CGGGGGGGGCAAGCGUUGUUCGGAAUUACUGGGCGUAAAGGGUUUGUAGGUGGCUUGUUAAGUCAGACGUGAAAUCCCUCAGCUUAACUGGGGAACUGCGUCUGAUACUGGCGAGCUUGAGUGCAGGAGAGGAACGCGGAAUUCCAGGUGUAGCGGUGAAAUGCGUAGAUAUCUGGAGGAACACCGGUGGCGAAGGCGGCGUUCUGGACUGCAACUGACACUGAAAAACGAAAGCCAGGGUAGCAAACGGGAUUAGAUACCCCGGUAGUCCUGGCCCUAAAUGAUGAAUGCUUGGUGUGGCGGGUAUCGAUCCCUGCCGUGCCGAAGUUAACGCGAUAAGCAUUCCGCCUGGGGAGUACGGUCGCAAGGCUG
rnacentral:rRNA from 1 species